rnacentral:rRNA from 1 species
UUACAGGCUUAACACAUGCAAGUCGAGGGGCAUCAGGAAGAAAGCUUGCUUUCUUUGCUGGCGACCGGCGCACGGGUGAGUAACACGUAUCCAACCUGCCCUUUACUCGGGGAUAGCCUUUCGAAAGAAAGAUUAAUACCCGAUAGCAUAAUGAUUCCGCAUGGUUUCAUUAUUAAAGGAUUCCGGUAAAGGAUGGGGAUGCGUUCCAUUAGGUUGUUGGUGAGGUAACGGCCCACCAAGCCUUCGAUGGAUAGGGGUUCUGAGAGGAAGGUCCCCCACAUUGGAACUGAGACACGGUCCAAACUCCUACGGGAGGCAGCAGUGAGGAAUAUUGGUCAAUGGGCGCUAGCCUGAACCAGCCAAGUAGCGUGAAGGAUGAAGGCUCUAUGGGUCGUAAACUUCUUUUAUAUAAGAAUAAAGUGCAGUAUGUAUACUGUUUUGUAUGUAUUAUAUGAAUAAGGAUCGGCUAACUCCGUGCCAGCAGCCGCGGUAAUACGGAGGAUCCGAGCGUUAUCCGGAUUUAUUGGGUUUAAAGGGAGCGUAGGUGGACUGGUAAGUCAGUUGUGAAAGUUUGCGGCUCAACCGUAAAAUUGCAGUUGAUACUGUCAGUCUUGAGUACAGUAGAGGUGGGCGGAAUUCGUGGUGUAGCGGUGAAAUGCUUAGAUAUCACGAAGAACUCCGAUUGCGAAGGCAGCUCACUGGACUGCAACUGACACUGAUGCUCGAAAGUGUGGGUAUCAAACAGGAUUAGAUACCCUGGUAGUCCACACAGUAAACGAUGAAUACUCGCUGUUUGCGAUAUACAGUAAGCGGCCAAGCGAAAGCAUUAAGUAUUCCACCUGGGGAGUACGCCGGCAACGGUGAAACUCAAAGGAAUUGACGGGGGCCCGCACAAGCGGAGGAACAUGUGGUUUAAUUCGAUGAUACGCGAGGAACCUUACCCGGGCUUAAAUUGCAGUGGAAUGAUGUGGAAACAUGUCAGUGAGCAAUCACCGCUGUGAAGGUGCUGCAUGGUUGUCGUCAGCUCGUGCCGUGAGGUGUCGGCUUAAGUGCCAUAACGAGCGCAACCCUUAUCUUUAGUUACUAACAGGUUAUGCUGAGGACUCUAGAGAGACUGCCGUCGUAAGAUGUGAGGAAGGUGGGGAUGACGUCAAAUCAGCACGGCCCUUACGUCCGGGGCUACACACGUGUUACAAUGGGGGGGUACAGAAGGCAGCUAGCGGGUGACCGUAUGCUAAUCCCAAAAUCCUCUCUCAGUUCGGAUCGAAGUCUGCAACCCGACUUCGUGAAGCUGGAUUCGCUAGUAAUCGCGCAUCAGCCACGGCGCGGUGAAUACGUUCCCGGGCCUUGUACACACCGCCCGUCAAGCCAUGGGAGCCGGGGGUACCUGAAGUACGUAACCGCAAGGAUCGUCCUAGGGUAAAACUGGUGACUGG